rnacentral:rRNA from 1 species
GACGAACGCUGGCGGCGUGCUUAACACAUGCAAGUCGAACGGAAAGGCCUGCUUUCCCUUGUGGAUUGCGGGUACUCGAGUGGCGAACGGGUGAGUAACACGUGAGUGAUCUGCCCCCAACUUGGGUAUAAGCCUGGGAAACUGGGUCUAAUUCCCGAUAGGACUGCAGGGUGGUGCCUGUGGUGGAAAACGAUUUUCUAGUGGUUGGGGAUGAGCUCGCGGCCUAUCAGCUUGUUGAUGGGGUAAUGGCCUACCAAGGCGGCGACGGGUAGCCGGCCUGAGAGGGUGGACGGCCACAUUGGGACUGAGAUACGGCCCAGACUCCUACGGGAGGCAGCAGUGGGGAAUAUUGCACAAUGGGCGGAAGCCUGAUGCAGCGACGCCGCGUGGGGGAUGACGGCCUUCGGGUUGUAAACUCCUUUCGACCGCGAGGAAGCCACCUGGUUGGAAGGGUGGUGACGGUAGUGGUAGAAGAAGCACCGGCUAACUACGUG